GCGACAUCCUUACCGUUCGACUCAUGUUGCCUUCGAAGAUUUGAGACCACACAUGCAACAACUCAGUUUCGCACUUGACCCUUCUAUAUUCAAAGGUUAGUUCAGUUUCCCUUUACCCACUCUGAUUUUUUUGAUGUUUUGUUUCUGGUUAUAGAAAUAAUUGACAUAUCAAAAUUUAUGUAUUUAUGUAGUAUGUGUCUUAUUCUUGUUGAAGGUUUAUUAUUAUGUUAGUAAGAACAAGGUUUUAUGAUUUGUUUUGUAGGUAAAAAGAAAAUGGUAUCAUAAUUUGUGUGUAGGCGAUGGCCUUUAUAUUGGUAGAGAGUUGAUGUUGCUCAUGUUGAAACAACAUAGACACCCUUUCAUAUGCGUGUUAAAAUGGAUAGUGAUAAAUGAUAUGCAAAUUGGAUUUUUUGAAAACUUAGCACACUUUAUUGGACCUCAUCCUCUGAUAGAUAGUUGAUGUUCAUAUAUGCCUCUAGUUUGGUGUGGUAUAAAAUAAUUCUAUGAUGAACUUCUGUACUUAAUGGUUAUAUUUUUAUUUUUUAUUGAAAAUAAACAUGCCAAAGAUGAGUUAACUAACUCUUUAUCUAGGUAGAGUAGUUAAUUUCUGGAGUCUUUACUUUAAGGACAUUCUUAUGCAUUAAUUUUAAUAAUUUAGUUCUGAUAUAGGUAUUCAGUUUUUAAUAUUUUAAUUUAUGAAUUAGUUCUUGUUGGGGCUGUGAUAUCUUUUACAUAGUAUUGAUCCUUUUGCUUUUAACUUAUUUAGCUUUUAAUUUCUGUAAUUUAAGAGACGAUGAUUGUGGAAAGAGAGCAUUCUUCAAGUAGCGGUUCUUCUGGAAAUUGGCUUUCCCAAAACAAGGAACAUGAGAAGACUAGUGUUGUAGCAAGACAU
rnacentral:lncRNA from 1 species